rnacentral:misc_RNA from 1 species
AAGGAAGAUCCAGCCCCAUAAUCCGGUCAUGUGGCUGAAGCAAGGCGGUGUAAGCGGCGAAAUUCGCCGGCGAACCAGAGUAGGGCUGGACAUUAACACCCCAUUUCGCCGGAUCGACAUGGAAGGCCUCGAGAGCUCUAGAACGGCAGAGAUUCUCGAUCUCAUCGAUGAACUCGUUUCCACCGUAGUAUCGAUUUCCCGGCAUGCCCUCGGAGUACUUGUUGGUCAAGGCGCUGCCGAGGGCCUCGAUGACGGCGAAGGAGGUGAAGUUCUCG